rnacentral:rRNA from 1 species
GAUGAACGCUGGCGGUGUGCCUAAUACAUGCAAGUCGAGCGAACGGACGAGAAGAUUGCUUCCCUGAUGUUAGCGGCGGACGGGUGAGUAACACGUGGAUAACCUACCUCUAUGACUGGGAUAACUUCGGGAAACAGGAGACAAUAAUGGAUAAUACUUUGAACCGCAUGGAUCAAAAGUGCUAGACGGUCUUGCUGUCACUUAUAGAUGGUUCCGCGCUGCAUUAGCUAGUUGGUAAGGUAACGGCCUACCAAGGCAACGAUGCAUAGCCGACCUGAGAGGAUGAUCAGCCACACUGGAACUGAGACACGGUCCAGACUCCUACGGGAGGCAGCAGUAGGGAAUCUUCCACAAUGGGCGAAAGCCUGACGGAGCAACGCCGCGUGAGUGAUGAAGGUCUUCGGGUCGUAAAGCUCUGUUAUUAGGGAAGAACAUAUGUGUAAUUAACUGUGCACGUCUUGACGGUACCUAAUCAGAAAGCAACGGCUAACUACGUG